CUACCUUCUGCCUCUAUUUAUACCCUCCUCUCAUCUUCUUUCUUUUCCAUCAAACCCUAGCUCACUACCUAGCAAAUUAAAGGCCCCCCUUCUCUCUCUCUCUCUCCCCCUCUCUCUCCCUCUCUCUCAAAAUCUCUAGUCUUGCUCAAAGGAAGGAUCACGAGUACUGUACAUAUUUUCUUAUCAUGCAUUUGUAGCAGUUGAAGCUGCCAGCAUGAUCUUAACCUCCCUAUUUUGGUUAGGGAAGAUCAGAUCAUGUGGCAGUUUCACCUGUUAUUGGUAGCAUGAGAUCAAACCCUAAUUCCCACAUAAACCUUUGCAAUCCCUAGAUAAAAGGUAUGUCACGAUCUUCAGUUUCUCAAUAAGUCGACAGUAUGUAUGUGGGUUUUUGUUGUGGUGUCAAUUGAUGUAUUGAUUAAUUCAGCUCAUGUUUAUUUAUAUUUUUUUUUUUUGUGGGAAAGCUGCUCGGAAAUGUCAGCUGUUUUGGGGUUGUUAGGGUUUUGAAUGACAGAAACUGUGUGUUUCCACGCAGUUCGAUGAUUUCAAGAUCCUCAACUGGCACUUUGGUCAUUGAGCCACGGCUACCGAGCAAACCUGCCGUACCCUUUUUGAUUAUUAGUCAUACGGCCUGCAUCAAGAUUUCAUAUGUAUGUAUGCAUAUACAUUCAUGAUAUUACCAUGAAUUUAAGAUUUUCCAUUCAAUACCAUACGGUCUGAAAUUCGAUUUGCCUGAAAUUUUUGUCUCAGUUGGAGGUUCCUAAAUUUCAUCCAUGUUAUUGACUGGGGAUUAAGCCCUAGCUAGGUUAUUAUAUUGGCUAGGGUAUGGAAUAGAAUCAGAAGUUUUCUAGAAAGAGAGAGAGAUGGGGCAGUGAAAUGGACUUUUACCAGUGUGUUUUCACAGGAUGUUGCAGGAAAAACAACUUGCUGAGGGCUUUUUAUUUGUAUAAAUUUAAUGUCAU
rnacentral:lncRNA from 1 species